AUUGAACGCUGGCGGCAGGCCUAACACAUGCAAGUCGAGCGGAACGGCCGGCGGGCGAGUAAUGCCUAGAAAUCUGUCUGGUAGAGAGGGAUAACUUACGGAAAGGGGCGCUAAUAACGAAUGAUCUCAGAUGAGCCUAGGUUGGAUUAGCUAGUUGGUGGGGUAAAGGCCUACCAAGGCGACGAUCCGUACCUGGUCUGAGAGGAUGAUCAGUCACACUGGAACUGGGACACGGUCCAGACUCCUACGGGAGGCAGCAGUGGGGAAUAUUGGACAAUGGGCGAAAGCCUGAUGCAGCCAUGCCGCGUGUGUGAAGAAGGUCGUAGGGUUGUAAAGCACUUUAAGUUGGGAGGCGUUACCGACAGAAUAAGCACCGGCUAACUGCGUGCCAGCAGCCGCGGUAAUAC
rnacentral:rRNA from 1 species